rnacentral:rRNA from 1 species
UACCAGCACCCCGAGUGGUCGGGACGAUUAUUGGGCCUAAAGCAUCCGUAGCCGGUUCUGCAAGUCUUCCGUUAAAUCCAGCCGCUCAACGGAUGGGCUGCGGAGGAUACUACAGGACUAGGAGGCGGGAGAGGCAAGCGGUACUCAGUGGGUAGGGGUAAAAUCCUUUGAUCCAUUGAAGACCACCAGUGGCGAAGGCGGCUUGCCAGAACGCGCUCGACGGUGAGGGAUGAAAGCUGGGGGAGCAAACCGG